GGGCAAUUGGAGGAUUUCUGGACUUGCCACUCAACUUUAAUACACAAGCUUUGCAAGAUGAUAAUAUUAUUGGUUAAAGAUACUGUUCAAGUAGAUCAAAAUGUUUGACGACAUUUAGACGAAGAGCUUCGCAGAGAUGACUGGGAUCUUCUGGACAUCCGUGCAGCGGAAGAUCCUGAAUUUUCGUGCCCCCUUCCCCGGGGUAGGAGAUGGCAUCUUAAUGUAUAGAAAAGUUCAACAUGACUUAGUGAUUUAAGUAAUGCUAACCAAGCAAAAUUAUUUAAAAAAUAUGGAGUUGAGAGAAGGGCUCCAUUUUCAUCUGCUUUCAUGUUUAUUAUGGAUGACAUAAUGAUCUUAAGAGAUUGACCAUAGGGACCCAACCAUAUUGGUUUGUUUAUAACUUUAUCAGGUUAAUGAUCCAUUGAGUCUUGA